UCGCGCCGUCCACCAUACCGUCGCCUCAUCUCCCUCUUCCUCUUCCUCUUCCUAGAUCGACGCCGAAAUUAGGGACCGUCAAUCCCUAAUUCUCAUCACCCUCCGCCCUCUCCCUCCUCCGCUCCUCGUCAAUCCACCGCCCACCUCCCUCUCCCUCCUCCAUUUCGCUCGCCUCUGCUACUUCUCCUCCUCCUUAUCGAGCCUCCUCUUGUUUUCUCUUUGAGAUCCUCGCCUCCUCCACCCCUUCCUCCGUCGAGCCUCCGCUUGUUUUCUCAUCACCCUCCUCCCUCUCCCUCCUCCACUCCUCAUCAAUCUUGCAUCUGCCACUCGUAGUUACGGAUCUGUGGUUGUUCAUCCCCUGCUGGCCAUGCCCACCACAAGCGCCCUGGGGACCGGCCCUUUGGAGGUUCGGUUCAAUAAGGUAAUUGAGUCGCUCGUGGAUCAAAUUGAUCUAUCGGAAGAAGAGGCAGAAGUGUGCCUCAAGCUUCUACUCAAUGAAGCCAACGAGGCUUUAAUUAGAGCCUUCUCCAAGAGAGGAAAUGUGGACAAUAGUGUUAAAUGCAAUUGCGCAGAUCUUUUCCAGAGACUGUUUAGCCAAGCCCAUUCUUUACAAAGUAACUGAAAGCUUUUGAGGUGUGGCUAGCCCAUGGCUCCGAACAUAAGAAACCACCAGAACAGCUACCAGUAGUUCUUCAGUCUUGUCAGGUAGAUCUGGUGAAAGAUGGUGGUCACACAUAUUUUAUCAGGUUUCAUGAUAGCAUGGAUGCCUAUGCUGAGCAGCGAGCAAUGGCUGCUUUUGUCUUGGCAGUUGUAGUGGAUGGACAUCGGCGGAGACAAGAAGCAUGUAUUCAAGCAAAUUUUUUAAAUGUGUCCCUGAAGCAUUUACAAAUUGCUAAUCCAAGUGAUGGGCAAACUGAACCUUUACUUCUCCAUGGCUUUGUUUAUGUCUGGGCCAGGAAAGCUCUGGGAAGAUUUUCCAUAAGUACAAAUCAUAGGUUCUCUUGCAGAUGGAGUAGCAACUAUUUUACCUUAAUUGCUGGAACCAUAGCCUGAGGUAGAAUUUAUACAUCUUUGUAGUCUAUGUUUUACUAGGAAAAUUCUUGUAGUUCAACAUCUGUUUGGUAGGUUAGAGCUUCUGCUAUUUUUGCUUUGGGGACUCUUAUUGAUGUUGCAUCUAUCACAUUUGAUGAUGGACAUAGAGUCGAUGAGGACUUUGAGAAUAAUGAAAAGUUAAAGUCUGAGUUGAAUAUCAUUAAAAAUCUUCUACAACUUGCUGUGGAUGGAAGUCCUUUGGUGAGGGCUGAGGUUGCUGUAGGUAUGUGCAACUAUUAAAGCUUUACUUAUAUGUUGUUUUCUUAUUGGAUUCUCAAGUUUCUGCUCUUAAUUUGAUUUCACAACUAAGGUGUUAUUAACUAAGACUCAAUUGUUUCACAGCUCUUGCUCGCUUUGCCUUUGCUCACAACAAACCUCUUAAGUUAACUGCCGUUGAAAAUGGGAAGCAUCUAAGCUCUUUGCCAUUCUGGCCAGCAUAAAUCAUCCUAAUAGCUUAUCACCCAGUCAAUUUAUGCAGUCAGGAAGAACCAUCGCACAUAUUGGUCCUACAUUAAGAGGCAACCGUGAGAAUAAUACAACUGGUAGAGAAGCAAGGAUAUCCAGAAGUAGUCCUAUUGCAUCGGUUGGCAUAAACUGUUAGAAUCAUUUAUAAUGCAUUUUUAGAAAAUGAGAAUAUCAUAUACAAUAAAACAUUGGUAUCAUAUACAAUUAAACAUUGGUCCUUGCGUAUUCCCAGGAUAUGUUAAUGCCGUAGCCAACAUUCCAUAGCUUUCUACUUAUAUUUCCUUCUAACAACUCAAAAAAACUUUUAACAGAUUCUAUUGAUUCAAUUGUUCAUGUUCCUUGAACAAUGCUUGAUGUAUAUUUAUUUAUCAAGUGAUGAAGAAGCUUAUGACUAGUUUGUUUCACUUUUUUUUUUUGUUUCCCAAGCAAAAGGUAUGUUAUUAUUAUUAUUAAAGUUAUAAACCGUGUUCUUUCUGUCUGUUGUUCUUCAUCAAGCAGGAUGGACUGCAAGCACAUUUAUGAGAAGGAACCAGUAAUCCACUACAUAAGCACAAAGAAACCACAUCCUCGAUGCCCAGUUGCAGGUUGCCUAAAAAUUCUCCAAGUUGGACGGGUUGUAUGUGACGCCUUGCUUACAAUAGAAAUUGAUGAAAUGCGUUUGGCAUCAGCUACAAACAUAAAGUCAACAAUGGUAGAAGAUUUUUACAGAAGUUGACUGAAAAUGGCAACACUGCUCCCCGCAACUAUAAGCUUGAUAUAAUUUUUCAAGGUGAUUUAACCUCUGUCGGUGAUUUAUCAUCAGCCAAUGCGAUUUAGGCAUCAUAGUUAAUUAUCUUUUGAUGUUGUAAGAAGAAUAUUUGUGUAAUUUGUGGAUACAGACUUGAUGUGUACAAUAUCUAUUAUCUUUUUAUAUUGUGAGAAUAA